rnacentral:rRNA from 1 species
AACGAACGCUGGCGGCAUGCCUAACACAUGCAAGUCGAACGAAGCCUUCGGGCUUAGUGGCGCACGGGUGCGUAACGCGUGGGAAUCUGCCCUUAGGUACGGAAUAACUCAGGGAAACUUGUGCUAAUACCGUAUGAUGUCGAGAGACCAAAGAUUUAUCGCCUAGGGAUGAGCCCGCGUAGGAUUAGCUAGUUGGUGGGGUAAAGGCCCUACCAAGGCGACGAUCCUUAGCUGGUCUGAGAGGAUGAUCAGCCACACUGGGACUGAGACACGGCCCAGACUCCUACGGGAGGCAGCAGUGGGGGAAUAUUGGACAAUGGGCG